GCGGGUGUAGUUCAGUGGUAGAAUACUGGCUUCCCAAGCCAGUAGCGAGGGUUCGAUUCCCUUCACCCGCUCCA
rnacentral:tRNA from 1 species